rnacentral:rRNA from 1 species
GUGGGGAAUCUUGCGCAAUGGAGGAAACUCUGACGCAGCCAUGCCGCGUGAGUGAUGAAGGCCUUCGGGUUGUAAAGCUCUGUCUAAGGGGAAAAAUGAUGCGAUGUCGAAUAGGCAUGGCAAGUGAUGGUACCCUUAAAGAAAACACCGGCUAACUCCGUGCCAGCAGCCGCGGCAAUACGGGGGGUGUAAGCGUUGUUCGGAAUUACUGGGCGUAAAGGGCGUGCAGGCGGCCGCCGCAAGUUGAAUGUGAAAUCCCUGGGCUUAACCUGGGAAGUGCGUUCAAGACUGCGGGGCUUGAAUACGGGAGAGGAUCGUGGAAUUCCUGGUGUAGAGGUGAAAUUCGUAGAUAUCAGGAGGAACACUCGUGGCGAAGGCGACGGUCUGGACCGAUAUUGACGCUGAGACGCGAAAGCGUGGGUAGCAAACAGGAUUAGAAACCCCUGUAGUCC